rnacentral:rRNA from 1 species
CAAUGUGAUUUUGCUAGUAGCUGGGGCAACCUGGCUGCUAGUCAGAGUCAACACACAGCAUUGAUCGGUGCAGCGUUACAAACUUUAGUGUUUAGUAAUAUCAAUGAUGUAUCAGUAGCAAUAUUGGUAUAUCUCCUUCAGCCUAGGAUGCAAGUCCCAUUGACUUGGGCUUUUUCAAAUUGAGAUGACUAUAGUGUUGGGGCAACUUGAUACUAUGGUUGAGCCAUAGAGGGUGAAAGUCCCUUAACGUCCAGGUAUUGAUAUUACGAACUAGAGAGCCAGCAAUGGCAUUUUGUUAGAGUCGGGUUGCUUGAGAGUGCAACCUAAAGAGCGAGGUAAACUGCUCGUAAGGCUAUUAGAGAAAUAUCGCUAUGACACCGAUAGCAAACAAGUACCGUGAGGGAAAGUUGCAAAGUACUUUGAAGAGAGAGUUAAACAGGGCGUGAAACCGCUAGCUGGUAAACGAGUGGAGCCACGAAGUCGUUUCGUAGAAUAAGGGUUACAAAUUCAGUUGAGGUUUUCGCAAGAUGGCCUUAAUGCAUUUUUGUUUUACCCUCUAUGUAUGCGUACACUGCAACCAAUUAGACAAUCAAUUGUGGAAACAAUUAGCCGAUACAAGGAGAAAUCUUUGUGUUAGUUAAUGAAAUGCUUAUAUACUAGCUAUAGGUAGCUUGAUUUAAUCCUCGUGGUUAUCUUGAGUGUCUGAUACGCUAAUAUGAGAACUACAAUUGAAUACUGAUUGGCACAAUGAAAAUCCAUUUGCAAAAAUGGUAUUUAGAUAAUACUACCCGUGUUGUAUGUGUGUACAAGUGUUUAUUAUUAGUGUAAGCUUAAUAGUUUAAAUUUAGACUGGUAGGCUAUCUUGGAUUUCGGUUCUUGAUGCCUAUUUAGCUUCUAUCUAAUUGGCUAUUGACUUUGCUAGUAUUGUUAUACUUGAAAUGAUAGCAUAUAUGCAACGAUGGGCAAGUUAUUUUAUUAGCAGUGAGUAGGUCGGCUUUCCACACGACCC